rnacentral:snoRNA from 1 species
CCGCAACCAAUUAAGCCAACCGUCCUCCUCCCUGUGGGGGCCGGUGUGCAGUGGCUGCAAACGACAGCCUCCUUGGGCGCGUAUGCAGCCUGCUGGCUUGUACAGGCUGCUCUAAGGGACCUUGGAGAACAUG